AUUGGAAACGAUGGCUAAUACCGCAUAAUGCCUACGGGCCAAAGAGGGGGACCUUCGGGCCUCUCGCGUCAGGAUAUGCCUAGGUGGGAUUAGCUAGUUGGUGAGGUAAUGGCUCACCAAGGCGACGAUCCCUAGCUGGUCUGAGAGGAUGAUCAGCCACACUGGAACUGAGACACGGUCCAGACUCCUACGGGAGGCAGCAGUGGGGAAUAUUGCACAAUGGGCGCAAGCCUGAUGCAGCCAUGCCGCGUGUGUGAAGAAGGCCUUCGGGUUGUAAAGCACUUUCAGUCGUGAGGAAGGUGGUGUAGUUAAUAGCUGCAUCAUUUGACGUUAGCGACAGAAGAAGCACCGGCUAACUCCGUGCCAGCAGCCGCGGUAAUACGGAGGGUGCGAGCGUUAAUCGGAAUUACUGGGCGUAAAGCGCAUGCAGGUGGUUUGUUAAGUCAGAUGUGAAAGCCCGGGGCUCAACCUCGGAAUAGCAUUUGAAACUGGCAGACUAGAGUACUGUAGAGGGGGGUAGAAUUUCAGGUGUAGCGGUGAAAUGCGUAGAGAUCUGAAGGAAUACCGGUGGCGAAGGCGGCCCCCUGGACAGAUACUGACACUCAGAUGCGAAAGCGUGGGGAGCAAACAGGAUUAGAUACCCUGGUAGUCCACGCCGUAAACGAUGUCUACUUGGAGGUUGUGGCCUUGAGCCGUGGCUUUCGGAGCUAACGCGUUAAGUAGACCGCCUGGGGAGUACGGUCGCAAGAUUAAAACUCAAAUGAAUUGACGGGGGCCCGCACAAGCGGUGGAGCAUGUGGUUUAAUUCGAUGCAACGCGAAGAACCUUACCUACUCUUGACAUCCAGAGAACUUUCCAGAGAUGGAUUGGUGCCUUCGGGAACUCUGAGACAGGUGCUGCAUGGCUGUCGUCAGCUCGUGUUGUGAAAUGUUGGGUUAAGUCCCGCAACGAGCGCAACCCUUAUCCUUGUUUGCCAGCGAGUAAUGUCGGGAACUCCAGGGAGACUGCCGGUGAUAAACCGGAGGAAGGUGGGGACGACGUCAAGUCAUCAUGGCCCUUACGAGUAGGGCUACACACGUGCUACAAUGGCGCAUACAGAGGGCAGCAAGCUAGCGAUAGUGAGCGAAUCCCAAAAAGUGCGUCGUAGUCCGGAUUGGAGUCUGCAACUCGACUCCAUGAAGUCGGAAUCGCUAGUAAUCGUGGAUCAGAAUGCCACGGUGAAUACGUUCCCGGGCCUUGUACACACCGCCCGUCACACCAU
rnacentral:rRNA from 1 species